rnacentral:rRNA from 1 species
UACAGAGGUCCCAAGCGUUGUUCGGAGUUACUGGGCGUAAAGAGUGCGUAGGCGGUCCUGUAAGUUUGGUGUGAAAUCUCCCGGCUCAACUGGGAGGGUGCGCCGAAGACUGCAGGGCUUGAGUAUGGGAGAGGUAAGCGGAAUUCCUGGUGUAGCGGUGAAAUGCGUAGAUAUCAGGAGGAACACCUGUGGUGUAGACAGCUUACUGGACCAUAACUGACGCUGAGGCACGAAAGCGUGGGUAGCAAACAGG